rnacentral:rRNA from 1 species
GUCUUUUUGUAGUAAAAUAUAAAGUCUCGCCUGCCCACUGAUACAAUUUGAAUGGCCGCGGUAUUUUGACCGUGCUAAGGUAGCAUAAUCAUUAGUUUUUUUAUUGAAAGCUGGAAUGAAGGGUUGGAUGAAAAAAAAACUGUCUUUAUUUAAUUUGUAAAGAAUUUUAUUUUUAAGUUAAAAAGCUUAAAUUAUUUUAAAAGACGAGAAGACCCUUUAGAGUUUUAUAAAAUUAUUAAUAAUUUUUUUUAGUAUUAAAUUUAUUUAUAUAAUAAAUUUAUUUAAUUGGGGUGAUUAAAAAAUGAAUUUAACUUUUUUUAUAUUAUUAUAUUAAUUAAUAAUUUUUUGAUCCAAUUUUUUUGAUUAUAAGAUUAAAUUACCUUAGGGAUAACAGCGUAAUUUUAUUGGAGAGUUCAAAUUGAUAAUAAAGAUUGCGACCUCGAUGUUGGAUUAAAGUUUAUAAUUGGUGCAGAAGCUAUAUUAUUAAGUCUGUUCGACU